GUGUCAGCAGCCGCGGUAAUACGUAGGGGGCAAGCGUUGUCCGGAUUUACUGGGCGUAAAGAGCGCGCAGGCGGCCAUACCGUAAGUCGGCUGUGAAAUCCCUCGGCUCAACCGGGGGGCGUCGGUCGAUACUGCGGGGCUUUGAAGGCGGUAGGGGGAGAUGGAAUUCCCGGUGUAGUGGUGAAAUGCGUAGAUAUCGGGAGGAACACCGAUGGCGAAAGCGAUCUCCUGGGCCGCCCUUGACGCUGAGGCGCGAAAGCGUGGGGAGCGAACUGAAUUAGAUACUCAGGUAGUCCACGCCCUAAACGAUGGACACUAGGUGUGGGGGGUAUCGACCCCUCCCGUGCCGCAGCCAACGCAAUAAGUGUCCCGCCUGGGGAGUACGGCCGCAAGGCUAAA
rnacentral:rRNA from 1 species